rnacentral:rRNA from 1 species
GUGGGGAAUAUUGCGCAAUGGGGGAAACCCUGACGCAGCAACGCCGCGUGCAGGAUGACGGCCUUCGGGUUGUAAACUGUUGUCGCAAGGGAAGAAAAAAAUGACGGUACCUUGUGAGAAAGCCACGGCUAACUACGUGCCAGCAGCCGCGGUAAUACGUAGGUGGCAAGCGUUGUCCGGAUUUACUGGGUGUAAAGGGCGCGUAGGCGGGUCUGCAAGUCAGUCGUGAAAUACCGGGGCUUAACUCCGGGGCUGCGAUUGAAACUGUAGAUCUUGAGUAUCGGAGAGGAAAGCGGAAUUCCUAGUGUAGCGGUGAAAUGCGUAGAUAUUAGGAGGAACACCAGUGGCGAAGGCGGCUUUCUGGACGACAACUGACGCUGAGGCGCGAAAGUGUGGGGAGCAAACAGGAUUAGAAACCCUAGUAGUCC